rnacentral:lncRNA from 1 species
AUAAACUGAGUUUUAUGGAAAAGCUCUAGGGGCAAUGUGGGUACCCUCACGCUCUUUUUGUUAAUCUUGUGGGUCGUGCUGGUGGUUUAUCUUUAUGGUGGGAUAAUUCUGUACAGUUAACAUCAAUUCAGUGGUCUCAAAAUUUUGUGCAUUAUACAGUAUCUAAUAUACAGUAUGUUCCUUUAGCUUAUUUUACUUUUGUUUAUGAUUGCUCUGAUCAUCGGCUACAUCACUCCUUUUUUGAAUCUUUGUUUCGUCUUCAUCCUACAUCUUCUCUGUGGUGCUGUAUUGGGGAUUUUAAUGCCCUUCGUUCUUAAGUGGGUAAAUCUGGUGGUAGGGUAGUGAGUUCUUCUCGGGUGAAUUUAUUUAAUGAUUUAUCCACUCUUGUGAGUUAUUGGAAGUGUCGAGUGAAGGAUCUCCUCUCACUUGGUUUAAUAAGCAUUUUGAUACUUCCACCAUUCAAUAAUGACUAGAUUGGGCUUUGGUUUCUACGGAAUGGCAAGAGAGUUUUUCUCAUACUCAGUUACUUCAUGAGUCUUUACUUGAAUCUGAUCAUUGCCCACGUAUCUUGCUUUUGCAUUCCCUCCCUCAUAAGUGAUCCUUUCUAUUUCAUUUUGAAGCAAAAUGGUUGUUACACCCACAAUAUGAGAGUAUUUUUCAACAAGCUUGGUGUGCUCCUCAUCAGGGUUCAUCUAUGUUUUCUUUAGUGCAAAAAUUAUAUAGUUGUUGGACCUUCUUUACUUGUUGGAAAGGUACUAUCUUUAAAGAUCCUCAAGCUCUUUUACUUUUCCUACAACAACAAUUAGAGGAGGUGUAUUCUCGCCCUUUCAAUCUUGCAAAUUCUGGUGUGGUAGCUAAAUUAACUACAGACAUUCAUGACUUAUGGCAGCAAGAUGAACUUCACUGGUGACAAUGAUCUCAUAUUCAGUGGUUGCAAGCUGGUAAUUAUAACCCUAAAUUAUUUCAUCUAUCUACCAUCCAACAGUGUUAGAGAAAUUUCAUUAUUCGGCUCCAAAAUGAAGUUGGAGUCUGGGUUGAAACUCAAGUUCUUAUUUGUCAGGAUAUCGGAAAUUUUUUUCAACAGUUGUAUAUGUCUACUUCAUUAGCGGAUCCUUCUGUUGUUAUAUCUAUGAUUCCGCGACUUGUUACUACUGAUAUGAAUGACCAGUUUUUGUCACCUAUUACAGAUGAUGAAGUACGACAUGCAGUUUUUGAUCUAGGUAGAGAUAAGGCUCCGGAUCCUGAUGGUUUUUCAGGUUCAUUUUUUCAGCAUCACUGGGACAUUAUUGGUCAUGAGUUGGGUCAAGUUGUGCUCAUGUUUUACACUUCGGGUUAUUUAUUGAAGGAAUUAAAUCGUACAAAUAUUGUUCUAGUACCAAUGUGUCACUGUCCAGAGACUCUUCAGUAUAAGGUCAUUUCUAAAACGAUGGUGCACCGUCUUAAGACUUAUAUGGACUUACUUAUUCCUUCUGAUCAGCCAGCUUUUAUCCCUUCUCGUGCUAUCCAGGAAUAUAGUUGUUGUACAAGAAGCAUUUCACUUUUUGAAAACUUCUAAUCGGAAACAUCAUUCCCUACUAGUUAAAUUGGAUAUGUUUAAAGCCUAUGAUCAAGUUGAUUGCGGUUUCUUGCGUUCUGUUUUGUUACAAAUGGGUUUUGUUAUAGCUUGGGUUCAGUUAGUUAUGCAGUGCGUUUCAACUGUUAGUUUUUCCAUCUUAGUCAAUGGUAGUCCUACUGCUCCUUUUUCUCCUUCACGUGGGCUUCGUCAAGGAGAUCCUUUGUCCCCUUCUCAGGUUCUUUCUUACUUAAUGGUUGCUACCAAGUCAAAUGGUUGGCUUUAUGGCAUCAAGCUCUCACAGUUUUCUCUGGCUAUUACCAAUGUGUUGUUUGCUGAUGAUACUUUACUUUUUUUCUAAAGCCACUCGUCAUGAGGCUGGUCAACUUCUUCAGGUUUUCUAAUAGUAUAUUGUUGUCACAAAUAAAAGUAUUAAUUUUCAUAAGUCUCAAGUUUUGUUUAGCAAACAUACUCCUCUGACUCUGCAUCAAGAGCUUUGUAACGACUCAGAAAUCGAACCGCUACCGGCGCUAGGAUCCAGAUCGACUUAAGGUCGUCGGGACCCGUAGCAAGCCUACAUACAUCCUGUACAUCUGAUAAAAUCCCAUACAUGAUCAAACUUUUGCAUAAAACUUUAAACUUUUUAUACACCAAGCUUGACCUGUGCAUGCACCAUAACUGUAAAUAUAAAACCCCACACUAGAGCCCUCAUUAAAUGCUCUAGCGGGGUAACAUAUCAUAUGUUAAGUCUGGUUCGACAUAACUCAUCGUUAAAACAUUUCAUAUAGAUGAUGAACAAAAGGGGGAUUAACCAUACAUUAGGGCCAAGCACAAUACUAAUCCUCAUUACAACACUGUACAAUACCUUACAUUGCAUUACAUUAUUUUACAUAUCAUGUCCACUACUAAUCUAUUACAUAUACAUAGCUUUUACCCUUGACGACCUCCCGGUCUAUCCUGAACCUGCAAACCUGGGGGUUAGGGGAAAAAGGUGAGCUACAAGAGCCUAGUGAGCAGAACAAUAAAAACAGUUUAUAAAUAUAUGUCAUCAUGGAAUGCAUCACAUCACAAACAAUUCACAUCACGGAUGGAUUUGUCACCAAUAACCCUCUACAUAGUCCAAUUGUGCCAGGGGCGUAGUGUAAUACCCGGCUAGACUCCGGUAUCGGAAUUCCUACCGUCCGGUGGAAUCUCGGAUGUCUGAAACCUCUAGAAGGGUAAAAACAUGUUUUUUUUAUAAAAUGUUUUCAUGUAUUUUAUGGUUUUAGGUAAGAAAGAAAUUUAGUUUUGAAUGAAAAAGACCAUAGAGGGAAAUCCAGGUUCGGCCGCCGAACCUCAUGUUCGGCCGCCGAACAUGCAUGAGUUUUGGAGUCACUUUCGGCUUCCGAAUGUGGCCUGGCCAGCCACCUAUAAAAGGCCCCAUGGCCGAAAAUGGGCGAGCUUUCUCCCCUAUUUUCGGCCAACGGUGAGUCCAUGCCCUUCCAUGGUUAGUUUCAAUGAUUUCCUUUAAAUCUUUCAAGUUUUGACAAGCCUUCAUCUUAUUUUUGAAGAUUUUUGAGUUAAAAACGGAGUUUUGGAGCUUGGAGACCCAAGGAGCUAGAUUUCUCUCAUUUCCAAGUUAGAAUCAUCUCUCCUCUCGAUCUUCAAGAGGUAAGCUUAGAUCCUACCUUUCUUGUAUGUUUUAAGCAAGUUUUGAGGGGUUAUGGGGUAGAAAUGCAUGCUUAGGUUAAUGUUGAGUUUAUGGACAAUGUGUGUUGUAUGAGUUGCUAUUUGUGUUUGUGUUGGGGUUUAGGUUAGUUUGAGACCCCUAUAUGCUUAUUUGCUUGUGUAUGCAUAUUGUAGAAUAGCUAAAUGCAUGUUUGAAUGGUUUGGGAGGCAAAAUGUGCAUGAGGAGGCUGAGUUCUGCCCUUUGGAAGAACUCAGGUUCGGUAGCCAAAGGACUUUCGGCCGCCGAACCUGCCUGUGGAGGCAAGCUUUUGGCUGCCGAACCCUGCCCCCGAAAGUUGGACUUUCGGCUCUGGAGGGGAGUUUCAGCCAUCGAAGGUGCCGCCGAACAUGCACGAGUUUCGGCUCUGGAACCACUUUCGGCCGCCAAAGGUGCCGCCGAAAGUGGUUGAGUUUCGGAUCUGGAGGGACUUUCGGCCGCCGAACCUGCCGCCGAAAGUGCUCUGUUCAGCCUUCCUUUGCAUGUUUUCUAUGAUUGUUUUAAGGUGUUUUAGGGGGUUUUUGGGGAGUUGUUUAGAGUCAUGUUCAUGUUUGUUUGGUCCCUCAUUUGAGUCCACCUGUGUAGGUUCGAACCCGAGGAACCGAGGACCCCAGCAGUGAGUUAGCUGCUUCAGUGUCUUCUCAGAGCUAGCCUGAGGUGAGUAGAAUAACUCCUUAUGUUUCAAAGUAAAUAAAUCAGUUCUGAGCAUGUUCAUGCAUCAAGAAUGCCAUGAGAUAUAUUAGGUUGUUUGCAUUAGAAUUCACGAAUAUGUUGCAUUGCAUAAUAUGAUGAUGAUGUGGAUGGGUAUUGGAUGAUCCUUUAUUCCUCGUAUGAUAUGACAUGAUGAUGAUAUGGUAUGGCAUGAAAGUCCAGGUCGAGGCCCAUUCUACGCCCCUGGCACUAUGUUAAGAGAAAGACCAGGUCGAGGCCUAUUCUAUGCCCCUGACAUUAUUGAAAUGCUAUGUUAUGUUAUGUUAAGAGAAAGACCAGGACGAGGCCCAUUCUACACCCCUGGCACUAUUGGUAUGUAGAGGACUACUGGUGACAAGUCCAUCCUUGAUUGUGAUUUAUUUGUGAUGUGAUGCAUUCCAUGAGAUCAUAUGUUUUAAAUACAAUAUUUUAUUAUUCUGCUCACUGGGCUCUAGUAGCUCACCCCAUUCCCUUAAUCCCCAGGUCGGCAGGUACGGGAUAGACCGGGAAGUCAGCAAGAGUAAAGAAGUCAUGUUGUAUGUAAUAGUUAGAUGUGGACAUGCAUUGUAAAAUGUUGUAAUGUGGUAUUAUGUAAAGAAUUGUGUU